rnacentral:rRNA from 1 species
CCGGAUACGAGACGAAGAGGCAUCUCUAUCGUCUGGAAAGUUUUUCGGUCUGGGAUGGACUCGCGGCCUAUCAGCUUGUUGGUGAGGUAACGGCUCACCAAGGCGACGACGGGUAGCCGGCCUGAGAGGGCGACCGGCCACACUGGGACUGAGACACGGCCCAGACUCCUACGGGAGGCAGCAGUGGGGAAUAUUGCACAAUGGGCGAAAGCCUGAUGCAGCGACGCCGCGUGAGGGAUGACGGCCUUCGGGUUGUAAACCUCUUUCAGCAGGGAAGAAGCGCAAGUGACGGUACCUGCAGAAGAAGCACCGGCUAACUACGUGCCAGCAGCCGCGGUAAUACGUAGGGUGCGAGCGUUGUCCGGAAUUAUUGGGCGUAAAGAGCUUGUAGGCGGUUUGUCGCGUCUGCUGUGAAAAUCCGGGGCUCAACUCCGGACUUGCAGUGGGUACGGGCAGACUAGAGUGUGGUAGGGGAGACUGGAAUUCCUGGUGUAGCGGUGGAAUGCGCAGAUAUCAGGAGGAACACCGAUGGCGAAGGCAGGUCUCUGGGCCAUAACUGACGCUGAGAAGCGAAAGCAUGGGGAGCGAACAGGAUUAGAUACCCUGGUAGUCCAUGCCGUAAACUUGGGCGCUAGGUGUGGGGCUCAUUCCACGAGUUCCGUGCCGCAGCUAACGCAUUAAGCGCCCCGCCUGGGGAGUACGGCCGCAAGGCUAAAACUCAAAGGAAUUGACGGGGGCCCGCACAAGCGGCGGAGCAUGCGGAUUAAUUCGAUGCAACGCGAAGAACCUUACCAAGGCUUGACAUAUACCGGAAACACCCAGAGAUGGGUGCCCCGCAAGGUCGGUAUACAGGUGGUGCAUGGUUGUCGUCAGCUCGUGUCGUGAGAUGUUGGGUUAAGUCCCGCAACGAGCGCAACCCUCGUUCUAUGUUGCCAGCGCGUUAUGGCGGGGACUCAUAGGAGACUGCCGGGGUCAACUCGGAGGAAGGUGGGGAUGACGUCAAAUCAUCAUGCCCCUUAUGUCUUGGGCUUCACGCAUGCUACAAUGGCCGGUACAAAGGGCUGCGAUACCGCGAGGUGGAGCGAAUCCCAAAAAACCGGUCUCAUUUCGGAUUGGGGUCUGCAACUCGACCCCAUGAAGUCGGAGUCGCUAGUAAUCGCAGACCAGCAACGCUGCGGUGAAUGCGUUCCCGGGCCUUGUACACACCGCCCGUCAAGUCACGAAAGUCGGUAACACCCGAAGCCGGUGGCCCAACCCUUGUGGAGGGAGCCGUCGAAGGUGGGACUGGCGAUUGGGACUAAGUCGAAACAAGGUA